GAACGGGUGAGUAACACGUGGGUGAUCUGCCCUGCACUCUGGGAUAAGCCUGGGAAACUGGGUCUAAUACCGGAUAGGACCACACACUUCAUGGUGAGUGGUGCAAAGCUUUUGCGGUGUGGGAUGAGCCCGCGGCCUAUCAGCUUGUUGGUGGGGUAAUGGCCCACCAAGGCGACGACGGGUAGCCGGCCUGAGAGGGUGACCGGCCACACUGGGACUGAGAUACGGCCCAGACUCCUACGGGAGGCAGCAGUGGGGAAUAUUGCACAAUGGGCGCAAGCCUGAUGCAGCGACGCCGCGUGAGGGAUGACGGCCUUCGGGUUGUAAACCUCUUUCAGUAGGGACGAAGCGAAAGUGACGGUACCUACAGAAGAAGGACCGGCCAACUACGUGCCAGCAGCCGCGGUAAUACGUAGGGUCCGAGCGUUGUCCGGAAUUACUGGGCGUAAAGAGCUCGUAGGUGGAUUGUCGCGUUGUUCGUGAAAACUCACAGCUUAACUGUGGGCGUGCGGGCGAUACGGGCAGACUAGAGUACUGCAGGGGAGACUGGAAUUCCUGGUGUAGCGGUGGAAUGCGCAGAUAUCAGGAGGAACACCGGUGGCGAAGGCGGGUCUCUGGGCAGUAACUGACGC
rnacentral:rRNA from 1 species